AUUGAACGCUGGCGGCAGGCCUAACACAUGCAAGUCGAGCGGCAGCACUUCGGGUGGCGAGCGGCGAACGGGUGAGUAAUACAUGGGAAUCUGCCUGGUAGUGGGGGAUAACUCUGGGAAACUAGAGGUAAUACCGCAUACGCCCUACGGGGGAAAGCGGGGGAUCUUCGGACCUCGCGCUAUCAGAGGAGCCCAUGUCCGAUUAGCUAGUUGGUGAGGUAAAGGCUCACCAAGGCGACGAUCGGUAACUGGUCUGAGAGGAUGAUCAGUCACACUGGAACUGAGACACGGUCCAGACUCCUACGGGAGGCAGCAGUGGGGAAUAUUGGACAAUGGGCGCAAGCCUGAUCCAGCCAUGCCGCGUGUGUGAAGAAGGUCUUCGGAUUGUAAAGCACUUUAAGUUGGGUAGGAAGGGUAGUAGCUUAAUACGUUGCUACUUUGACGUUACCGACAGAAUAAGCACCGGCUAACUCU
rnacentral:rRNA from 1 species